AGAUUGUCACCUCACACACGCAUCGUCACCAUUCGUUGUCAGCCGCCCUCACCGGCUAGCAGGAUACGUCCGAUAAGCAAGGCUUAAUUUUAAAUGUUUAUAAGUAAAGACAAACACAGAAACUGAAUCAAAAUGGCUAACAACACCACGGCAGCGCCCGUGAUCUCCCCGGGAUGCGCAACCUUGGAUGUGAAUAACUACACGUGCUCGUCUGCAUUCAUCUUGCCCAUCAUCAACGAGUACACGUGGGCCCCUGGAACAAGAGCCUUUCUGUAUUUGCUUACUAUGGUAUGGUGCUUCCUUGGAGUUGCCCUUAUUGCUGAUGUGUUCAUGUGUGCCAUUGAAAAGAUUACAUCCAAAACAGCGAAAGUCCGGAUUCCCGACCAGAAUGAGCCGGACGGUUUUAGGAUGAUUGAGGUCAAAGUUUGGAACGAUACUGUUGCGAAUCUAAGUCUACUGGCACUUGGCACCAGCGCACCUGAAAUUCUGCUGUCGGUCAUUGAAAUUAUUGGGAGGGGCUUCGAAUCAGGAGAGUUGGGUCCAGGGACAAUUGUUGGAUCAGCGGCUUUUAAUCUUUUGGUGAUAUCCGCAAUAUGCAUAUUUUCGAUUCCAGAUGGGGAAAUUCGAAAAAUAUCCAAUAUGAGAGUGUUCGGUUUAACAACCUUCAGCUGUAUCUGGGCGUACGUCUGGUUGUCUCUGGUCAUUCUUGUAAUUUCGCCAGGCGUGGUGGACCUUGCUGAAUCUAUUAUUACCUUUUUGAUGUUCCCUGCUCUCAUAAUCGGGGCAUACCUGAUCGACAAGAGGCCAUGCAUGAAGAAAGAAGAAUGUAGUGGAAAAUGGAAUGGUUGGAAUUUCUUUGGAGGGUUAUGCAAAUGAGCCAUUGAAUACAGGCGAUACCUCAAGUGCUACCAUCAUGCCUAAAGAGGAAAAACCAGAAACCCCCGUUGACCACGACCAAUCGCACAAAAACUUGCUGAAACUAGCCAAGGAAUUGGGACAUGAAUCCUUGGAUCAAGGAAUACCUCCCGAGGAAGCCGCUAAGAUUGUUGCAGCAAAACUGUCGGAAAAUGAGCACCACAGCAGGAUGUGGUACCGAAUCAACGCCACGAGAAACAUGUCUGGUGGAAAGAAACUCACGCCACAAGUUUUCUCAGCAUUCAAAGACCUGUAUGACCACACCAAGUUGCCAGAAGAUGAAAAGGCAGACAGCAAAAUGGCUCUUACUACAAAGGACCAUACAGCAGGUGGAACCAAAGCUGUGGUGGAGUUCACAGCCGCCACAUUGUCCGUUCUAGAGAAUGAAAAGAAGGUCCGCAUCGGGAUAAGAAGAUACGGCAAAAUGGACACCCCUGCUACAGUCCGAGUUGAAACAAUAAACGGCACAGCUACGGCACCCGAAGACUACAUUCACUUGGAGGAAGAUGUUCACUUCGCCGUCAACGAGCAACUACGUCAGCUGUACGUGGAAAUCAUUGACGACAACGAAUGGGAGCCUGACGAGUUCUUCUUCGUCAAACUCUCACUUCCUGAAAAAGAGGAGAAUGAGGACAUAGUUCUAGGAAAUAUCUCAAUUACGCAAGUCACAAUCAUCAAUGAUGACGAGCCGGGGAAAUUGGAGUUUGCUAAACCUAGCAUUAUUGCAAAGGAAAGCAGCAGACGUGUGCGAAUUCCAGUCAACCGUAUUAAUGGUGCCGAUGGUCACGUGUCAGUUGCGUGGAAAACAAAAGAUAUCACUGCAAUUAGUGGAAAAGACUACCAGGGGGGAGAGGGGGUGCUGAAGUUUGACCACGGAGAGACUUGCCGUACCAUCGACAUUGAGAUAUUUGAUAGCAUGAAACCAGAAAGAGAUGAAAGUUUCCAAGUCGACCUCGGAGAAUGUGAUGGUGGAGCUGAGCUUGGAAAAAUCAAGAAAACGAUAAUUACAAUUGUCAACGAUGAAGAAUUCAACGGUUUGGUGAGUAGGAUUGUGAACCUGACCAAAGCUAACAUGGACGCUCUACAGCUGGAAGAUUCCACUUGGGUCACCCAGAUGAAAAACGCUAUGAAUGUCAACGGAGGGGAUAUAGAGAACGCCACUUUCCUCGACUAUUUGUUACACUUUCUCACCUUCUUUUGGAAGAUCCUAUUUGCGUUAGUUCCGCCUCCAAAGUACCUAGGUGGAUGGCCUGCGUUUGUCCUGUCCCUGGCAGUGAUUGGUUUUAUGACCGCCAUCAUCGGAGAUCUCGCUACUCUGUUCGGAUGUCUUGUCAAUCUGGACGACAGUAUUACUGCCAUUACUCUCGUUGCCUUGGGAACCAGUAUGCCGGAUACGUUUGCCAGUAAACAGGCUGCAGUCGGCGAGAAGACGGCAGACAGCUCAAUAGGGAAUAUAAACGGGAGUAACUCGGUAAACGUCUUCCUAGGUCUGGGCCUGCCCUGGCUCAUGGCGUCCAUCUACCACAUGACACAGGGCACAGUGUUUACAGUCCCGCCAGGAUCCCUAGGAUUCUCCGUCAUCAUUUACACCGGAUGCGCAAUAGCCGCCAUUAUUCUCUUGAUACUCAGAAGAUUCUUGAAGCCGUUUGGACAGGCCGAACUGGGCGGACCCAAAGGACCCAAGAUUCUGAGUGCAAUCAUUUUGGUGUCUCUGUGGGUGUUCUAUGUUCUAUUGUCCGCUUUAAAUUCAAAGAAAAUCAUCAAUGUCCAAAUUGGAGGCUAAUUAUAUUUUUCAAAUUUAGGAAAUAUUUUGAAAAUAAGAAGAAAGAAAAGAUUACCAACAAAAUUAAAAUGUUUUUGGGUACUUAAACUAUGGUUUAUGUCUUUUUUUCAACUUAAAUGGCAUUUAGGCAUUGUUAUUUUAUAUUUAUGAACAUUGGGAUGUUAGUACAUUUUGAUUCAGGAAUAACAUUUUAUUAGAAUUACAAAGCAACGAACUCUACUUGAAAACCUUAUCUUCGUAUUUGGCUUAAAUGGUCGUUGUGGCAAAAAAUGGAACUUGAUUUUUUGCUUGCCGUUAUGUUAUAGAUUCAUUCUUUCCAUAUUACAUGUACCUGUACAUUUGUAAACCUUUGGUAUGGUACUUACUUAAAAAAUAUUUUGUUUCAAAUGCAAAUACCGCUUGAUACAUGACUCUUAAUAUGUUAACUGUUUAAAUCCUUUUUUAUACACUUUUAUUACUUUUAUACGAUUUAUUGUUCUUACUAAGGGUUUUUGAAUAUAAAACGUCUUCAGUAAUUUACAAUGUGUACCGUUUUAGUUUGAUGCUUUGUUUUGGAAACAGGCAUCCAUGUACUAUGUUGGAGUAACUCUCCAUGUACUAAAUAUAUAAUAUUAUGGUUGUGUGCAAGUUAUUGUAAAUAUGUAUUAACUCUCUACAAUUUAUUUUUAUAAAUGAUUCUAGGUUAGAGCUAUCUUUAUUUCUGUAUAUUACAGUCAAAUUAAAUUAUCAUCUU
rnacentral:misc_RNA from 1 species